UCCCAAACCCAAUGUGAACGUUACCAAACUGUUGCCUCGGCGGGAUCUCUGCCCCGGGUGCGUCGCAGCCCCGGACCAAGGCGCCCGCCGGAGGACCAACCAAAACUCUUUUUGUAUACCCCCUCGCGGGUUUUUUUAUAAUCUGAGCCUUCUCGGCGCCUCUCGUAGGCGUUUCGAAAAUGAAUCAAAACUUUCAACAACGGAUCUCUUGGUUCUGGCAUCGAUGAAGAACGCAGCGAAAUGCGAUAAGUAAUGUGAAUUGCAGAAUUCAGUGAAUCAUCGAAUCUUUGAACGCACAUUGCGCCCGCCAGUAUUCUGGCGGGCAUGCCUGUCCGAGCGUCAUUUCAACCCUCGAACCCCUCCGGGGGGUCGGCGUUGGGGAUCGGCCCUCCCUUAGCGGGUGGCCGUCUCCGAAAUACAGUGGCGGUCUCGCCGCAGCCUCUCCUGCGCAGUAGUUUGCACACUCGCAUCGGGAGCGCGGCGCGUCCACAGCCGUUAAACACCCAACUUCUGAAAUGUGACCUCGGAUCAGUAGGAAUCCCCGGGUCCC
rnacentral:rRNA from 1 species